rnacentral:misc_RNA from 1 species
AACACUGUUAACCUGCGGUACCUGCGGAAGGAUCAUUACAGAGUUGCAAAACUCCCACAAACCAUCGCGAAUCUUACCCGUACGGUUGCCUCGGCGCUGGCGGUCCGGAAGGCCCUCGGGCCCCCGGACCCUCGGGUCCCCCGCUCGCGGGGGGCUGCCCGCCGGAGUGCCGAAACCAAACUCUUGAUAUUUUAUGUCUCUCUGAGUAAACUUUUAAAUAAGUCAAAACUUUCAGCAACG